rnacentral:rRNA from 1 species
GUGACCUCAAAUCAGGUAGGACUACCCGCUGAACUUAAGCAUAUCAAUAAGCGGAGGAAAAGAAACUAACAAGGAUUCCCCUAGUAACUGCGAGUGAAGCGGGAAAAGCUCAAAUUUAAAAUCUGGCGGUCUUCUGGCUGUCCGAGUUGUAAUCUAGAGAAGUGUUAUCCGCGCUGGACCAUGUACAAGUCUCCUGGAAUGGAGCAUCAUAGAGGGUGAGAAUCCCGUCUUUGACAUGGACUGCCAGGGCUUUGUGAUGCGCUCUCAAAGAGUCGAGUUGUUUGGGAAUGCAGCUCAAAAUGGGUGGUAAAUUCCAUCUAAAGCUAAAUAUUGGCGAGAGACCGAUAGCGAACAAGUACCGUGAGGGAAAGAUGAAAAGAACUUUGGAAAGAGAGUUAAACAGUACGUGAAAUUGCUGAAAGGGAAACGCUUGAAGUCAGUCGCGUCGUCCAGGGAUCAACCUUGCUUUUGCUUGGUGCACUUCCUGGUUUGACGGGUCAGCAUCAAUUUUGACCAUUGGAAAAAGAUCAAGGGAAUGUGGCAUCUUUGGAUGUGUUUAUAGCCCUUGGUCGCAUACAAUGGUUUGGGAUUGAGGAACUCAGCAUGCCGCAAGGCCGGGUGCAUAACCACGUACGUGCUAGGAUGU